CCUUCUUCCUUCUUCUUUCGGAACUAUCGAGAUUUAUUUGCAAAUUCUAGAACCCGCAGUCCCUGCAGGAAUGUAUCCAGGACCAACGCGGCGCCGCGAGCCUGGAGAAGAUAUCCACCUAAAAGUAACAGCCUGAGUCUGGAUCGCAGAACCUGGCUCCCACCAUCGCUAAUGAAGUGAACAAAAGAGUCGCAUAAAUCAGCAAAAGAAAGAAAGAACUAAAAACUUAAGUACAGCUUUGUGCUACAAAUGUCAAAAAACGGUCCUCAGUGAACUAACUAGAAGCCCGCUGCCGAUCAUGGCAUCUGAAUCUCAUCCCCAUUCCGCACAAAUCCCUACCAGGGAAGGAAACCAAGUAGACAAAAUACCACGAAUUUUUGGUGAAUCCACAGAGCGGGAGGGUGAGCACAGAAGCAAACCACCAGGGAAACGCAGGGGAGAUAAAACUAUCAUGAGUAGAAAGCAGCCCCUGCUGCCCCAGGACCCGACCAGAGGUGGGAAAAAGCACUUAGGGCUUGCCACUUUCUAGGCCUUUGCCCCGAGUUGAGGCAGAGAUUCAAAGUCCAAGGACAUUUUUGUCACAGGGACAGGGGAGGCUUCUAACAAGGGUGGGGGCAGGAGUUUACCAGAAUCUCACUCUCGCACACAGCCGGGGGUGGGGGGGGGGGGCUCAGCCCUAGUCCUCACUGUAUAUACAUGAAGGUCAUGGAAACAUGGGUAGAAAUGCAAUCUUCCAGCUCUCAAACUCGUUCAGGUACAGUGAGAAAGCAGCCGAGGAAUAUCUGUUCACAUAUUUGAACAAAUAGAAGGUUUUACAAAGAGCAAUCCACUUUAAUAUGAACAAGACAGAAGCAGUAAGUCCACCACCCAAGCUGAAGGCUUUCGUAACAGGGGAAGCAAUAAAAAAAGACUUACAGUGUGGGCGAGACAGAUGAAGAACCUAGCCCGGAAGAAAAUGUAAGCAAAGAGAAGAAAAUUCGUCACAUGCGUCCCAGGUUCUAGAACAAAUUAAUAUGAACAUUAACUGAAGGGAAUAAGGGCUGAAAGAAAUGAUGAAAUGGCACAAUGAGACGAGAAGGAUUGUACAGCUAAGGCAACGAAAUGAAAAUCAGAAACACCCACCAGAGAAACCAAAUUAGAAAGACCAAGAAAUAGACUGGGCACAAGUCACCUGAAUUACUGACUUACACGAAAAGCUUGGAUCAACUGCAGGGAACGUAGUUGGACGCAGAGGGAAAAGACUGCACCAUUUAAGCAAUUAGGAAGGGGUCAGUUGAUAUUUCUUUAAAAAGAGCCCUCCGAUAUUAAUUUUUUCCAAGAUAUAAGGGAAUAUCUCGGAAAUAGGAGAACCAAAUCUGCAGAUCAAAAGUCCUCACUGUGUCCCAGGAAAAAGGUGUAGAACGACCAACCCCAGAGAUAUCCUGGAUGUGUUAUUGAACUUCAGGAGAAGUGGUAGGGGGGAUCUGGUGGCCUCACAUGUCUCCAUGGUGGCUCUCAAUGUAAGAUGAAAAGGUAGCAACGUUUACAAAGGUUUGGGGGGAAAAUGUGACCCAGGAUAUUUCUACUCCCUGAAGGUGAUGUUCCCAAAUGUGAAAGCCCUCAGGAAAUACAGCACUCAUGGGUGAAUUGACAUGUUUUCCAACACAAGUAAUAGAAAACCCAACGUCUAAUGGCUUACACAGGAAGAGGAUUUAGGGGCACCUGGGUGGCUCAGUCGGCUAGGCGUCCCGUUCUUGGUUUCAGCUCCGGUCAUGAUCUCACAGUUCCGUGAGUUCAAGCCCCACGCCAGGCUCUUCGCUGGCAGUGUGGAGCCUGCUUGGGAUUCUCUGUCUCCCUGUGUCUCUGCCCCUCCUCCACUUGCUCUGUCUCAGUCUCGUUCAAAAUAGAUAAAUAAACUUUAAAAAGAUCAGAGGAUUUAUAGUGUCCCUUAACAAGAAUAGAGGUGAGACAGUUUUAGAGGUGGUCACAAGGGAGGUUUAGAGGUGGUUAUUUCAGUGACUCGGUGACAUCAUCAAUCUUUGAUGGUUUUUCCAUCUUUUGGGGCUGUCAUCCUGAAGAUGUUGGAUGGUUUCCCUCAUGGUCAUAAAAUGUGUGCCGCAGCUAUAGACAUUGCACCCUCACUCGGUGACAUCUGGAGAUAGAAACAGGACCAGCCAGGGGCGCCUGGGUGGCUCAGUCAGUUGAGCGUCUGGCUUCGGCUUAGGUCAUGAUCUCACAGUCUGUGAGUUCGAGCCCUGCAUCGGGCUCUGUGCUGACAGCACAGAGCCUGGAGCCUGCUUCGGAUUCUGUGUCUCCCUCUCUCUCUGCCCCUCCCCUGCUCAUGCUCUGCCUCUCUCUGUCUCAAAAAUAAAUAAAAAUAUUAAAAAAAAAAAAAAAGAAACAGGACCGGCUGGGAAAUGGGACCACCAUUACUGCCUUAGAGAAAUCGGGAAUUACUUGCAUUAUGACAGACAGAGAGGUGGAUGAAAGGACCAAAUCGGGAUUCUGCCAGCCUGGAAGCAGGCGGUAUGGGCUGUCGAGGGGGCCACAUUCAGCAACAUAACUCGAGCUCUUCCAGGAAAUAAAUCACUUGGUGGCGAAACCCAGCUAUCAAACGACAGAAGUCAUGUUCAAAGGAUGAACAAGCACUCAGUGUGGGAAGAUGGGAACAAGGUCUCCCCAAGUCUGCAUAGCAGGAGAACAGAUGCGGUUAUUCUCUGAUUAUGUCCCGCGAGCUUUGCAGACCGCUUACUGACCACUUCCUCUCUGGCAGGGACUGUUUAGGACCUGAUGUCGAUCCAUUCACUUAGCCUUCCCACUUCCAUCAUGAGGGGAGUCAUAAUUUCACCCCCGUUUUCCACAGGUGGAAACUGAGACUCAGAGGUUAAGUACGUCCAAGACCACACUGCGUGGACGGUGGAUUUGUCUUCAAACCACCCAACAGCCUCACUUCAAAGGCUACACCGUUGACGACUACCAUUUUGUUGGCAACAACAACUGUCUUAAUGAGGAGUCGCUGAACACCAGUGGUUCUCAAGUCAUUUAUCCUUUAAGAAAACCAACGAACGAACACACCGUUGCUGCCUCAUCAGGUAGCUACAGUAGAGAAGGUGACUCUGUCCUCAGUAUUCGGUAAUUUAUGCAGCUUCAUGGUCAGACUGCCAGGUCUCUGGGAAAAUGUAUCUUCUCACAUACGCAGUCACUCGGGCAGAUCCUCGCUGAUGCUCCUUCUGAGCAAAGCGCCGUGGUCCCCACCGUGCAGCUGAUCUGGCUGUGUUCUGCCUUCAAGGAACAGAGGCGAUAACCUUCCAGAAGGUCUCAGACUUCCUUUUCACAGGCUCGUUUCCUGGGGGAACAGCAGGUCUGGAAGAGCCCUCGGACAGUGUCCACGGAUCGUGUCAGAGGCCUCAAGCCCCAGGACAUUCCUGUCUCCUGAGCUCCCCUGCUCUGCCAACACACUGUCGGGGAGAGGGACCACCCGGCCCUUCUAGAAAGUCCACUCUGGUUGUGCCCAACUCGCCGUUAUUCCUUGACAUCAAGACUCCAGGCCAACCCUUCUCCACCAGAGCAGCCUUGUGAACGGUUAAGCCCUGGUGCCCCUGCCCCGGUCUUCCUGAUUCCAGGGCGAGCACCCUCAAGUUCUCUGCCAUGGCAAGACGGUAAGCUUCCUUGCGAUCAUUCUCUCUGUCACACUGUUCUCCAUCGGUGUCCCUCACACCUAACCCGGUGAAACACAACCUCCCGGGUGGGGGCCGGGGACACUUCAUCAACGUCACGCUGUUGACUCAGGCGGUGCUCGCAGCCGACCAGACCUGCAGCCCUUCCUCCACUCUCUCCUGCCGAGCCCCCCGUGCCACUCAGUGUGUUCCCCACCCUGUCCAGUUCCAGGAUGUUCCCUGUGAGAAAGCCAGGGAGCCUGAGCACAGCUCUGGAAACGUGUCAGAGUUGUCGUCCGGUGAGAAGUUAUAAACCUGCCCGGCCCCCCUAUCCUCUCUCUGGCUCACGUGUCUCCUCGUCCUCCAUGACUCCAUGAAAUAAGGAUUCGGCCAAGUGCAUUGCUAACACAGCUCUGUCGUACCUACGGCCUCGUCCUUUUGUACUAGUGCCUUUUGUGACCAUGGGAAUUGAGAACCGGGCUCGUCAGCUGGGCCUUGUUUUCUACGGAACCCAAGAUGAUAACAGUUGCUUUCUCUGCUUCCUUUCCUGAGAACUCACUCAUCCUUUUAAUGGUCUGUUCUGGCUCCACGUGAAGUUCACUGGGAUCAGUGCCUGAGCUUCCUUUCUUUUGGGAGUCACCUGCCACACGGAGCCUCUCCGCUGAACGUGGCACGGUGACAACUCAACCAGACGGGGCAUUGGCUCUUCACUGGUACCCAAGUCCCCGGAAGGCUGGCACCUGAUUGACGAUAACAGCAGCUCCUGGGUCUAGACCUCUGCCUGACAAGAUUGAGCCCAGGCUGCAAGAUUGAGCUCUGCCCUUUCAUAGGAGGAGAUGGUGUGCAAGCCACUUGACCAAUCGAGACGGGACACCGCUUAACGCUUCGAGGACCACCACCUCAGGGACCCAGCCUCCGCGCCCCCCUCCGCUGACGACCCCCUCACCCUUCCCAGGGACCGCAAGGCUAAACACGACAAGGCAAGCAGACACUCUGCCCGAAGACCAAGCUGUCUGCACCAAACACAGCCGGACCAAGUACCCUGCCCAGGGGACGGCUCAGGGCUCCCACAGGCGGCACGGGCGGGGCACAGAUGUGGCAACAUUGCCCCGAGGAGAUAGCUCCCCCAUCCUGCCCUCCCUGUCUUGGGCUCUGUCCUGCCCAGUCCCAUCCCGGAGUCCCAUCCUGCCAUGCCUCAGUGAUCUCCGGUUCUCUUCUCCCUGAAGAUACUACCUUUAUUUUGUUGAGCGACCACCCUCUAUGCUUUGCUAGACCCCUGAGGCCCAAGUCUGACUCACCUUGCCAGUAAUUUCCUCUAAACUGAUUGCUAUCUUUUCCGCGGUUACUGUGUUUUCGCCCUAACCGUCGACGUUUGAUUCCAUUCAAAAUGUAAAUGUCUUUCUCCACGGCCUCGUAGUCCGACUGCUAGGUCUCCGGCAAAGUUCACCUCCCAGACAGUCACGAUAUGGAGGAAGUCAGUUCGGCAAAUGUUUGUUGGUGCUGGCCCUCGACAAAGCCCAGCACUCGGCACCGUGCGGUGGGAAAACCGGUGACUCAGAUGGGAAUUCUGCCUUCAGAGAGCAGCAGAGGAGAUGAAGGUCAGAGGUGGCCAAAUGCCACCGCAUCGAGUCCUCUGUGAGCUUAGAACUGAGAGGGUCAAGGUGGCCUUGGGAAAGCGGAAGGCGGGAUCGGAGCUGGCCAUGCCCAGGGCGAGCAGGGCUGUGGCCCGAGGGGGUAGAAGGAGAGGAUGCCAGGCAAAGGAGAGGCAUCAAAGCAGAAGCGCGGGGACACAUUCACUGGGGAGUCAGUAUUUCCGUCUGACCUGGGAACAGGUCUGGCAUCACAGAUCGGGGCCAGUGCUGUGUGCGCUCAGCGGCGGGCAGAGAAGACCGGACUGGGCUGAGGGGCUGCUCCGGGGUCUGAGGUUUGGUUGAGCAGGAGAGCCCAUGCGGUCACCCGGCGCAGAGGGUCUUAAAGCGGGGAGCGCAGGCGAGCGGCUGAACGAGACGCGGCGUGUCCGUGCUCUGGAGUAACACUCAGCCACACGAAGGCAUGAGUGGCCGACACCUGCAGCCACGUGGAGGAACCCUGAAGACCUUAGGCGGAGGGAGACAGGCCAGGUACCAAAGGACAGAUCCUGCGUGGCGUCCCUUCGCAUGAAAUCCCUAUUGUGGCAAAUUUACAGAGACAGAGUCAGUGCAGAAGAGGACGCAGCUCUCCAGCCUACUGCUCAAGGAGUUUUCCCAGUCUGCAAACACUCAUAAGUACAUCGACUGAGACACAGACGAGCAGGAUCCCCCAAGUGCUCUGUGCCCUUCCUAAUCGCAUCCUGUGUCGUUUCCCCAUAGGCAAGCGUUACCCGACUGACUCCAAUGAGUACUUCUCCCUUAUAAAGGAAGACUUUGUGACGUUGUCCCGAGGAAGAGAGAGAGAGAGGAGAGGGAGACGGAGAGGGAGAGCGAGAUCUCCAGUUUUUCGAGCAGUAGUUUUUGUUGUUCUACUCGCUUACCAACACUUGGAAUUUCCUGUCUUUUUUCUCUGAAAUCGUGGUGUCAGCAUCUCCUUGUGUUUGUGAUUGGCAUUUCUCGGAUGGGUCACGGUGCUGAGAACCUUUUCAUGUGCCCGUCUGGCCCUUUGGAUAUCCUUUGUUGUGUUUUCGUGAAGCACCAGUGGAAAUCACUGAGCAAACUUUCACUAGAAUUCCUGUCUUUUCCUCACCCAUUUUUAGAAGAUAUUUGCACAUUCUGACAUCAGCCCACAUUUAAUAUAUUUAUUGAGAAUAGCUCCUGUCACCACAUGGUUUGCUUUUUCUCUCUCUUAAUGAUGUCUUCUGGUGAAUAGCAUUUCCUAAUUUUAAUAAAGCCUAACAUAUCCA